rnacentral:lncRNA from 1 species
AAUGACUGAAAAAGACAAUCUCAAAGAGAAGAAGUGCUUUGUAAAGAUGGAUUUCUAACAUCCUCUUCUGGUUGUAACAUCACAUGGUAUAUGUGACAAAGAACUGGACCAGGAAUCUUGGCUCCUAAGGUUUUACUGCUGAAGUGGUGCUUCUUCAUGGACUAGAGGAGCUGUGGUGGUGAUAGCAUGGGCGAUGGAAUGUGUUCCACAGAUUUAGAGUGAAUUUGGGUAGGUCACCUCAAG